UACAGGGGGUGCAAGCGUUGUUCGGAAUUACUGGGCGUAAAGUGUGCGCAGGCGGCAGAGCAAGUCGAGUGUGAAAGCCCCGGGCUUAACUUGGGAAUUGCGCUCGAAACUACUUUGCUGGAGUGUGGCAGAGGAAGGUGGAAUUCCACGUGUAGCGGUGAAAUGCGUAGAGAUGUGGAGGAACACCAAUGGCGAAGGCAGCCUUCUGGGCCAGCACUGACGCUCAUGCACGAAAGCGUGGGGAGCAAACAGG
rnacentral:rRNA from 1 species